rnacentral:tRNA from 1 species
GCCUGGGUGGUUCAGUGGUUGAGCGUCUGUCUUUGGCUCAGGUCAAGAUACUGGGGUCAUGGGAUCAAGUCCCAUAUCAGGCU